UUGGUGCCGUGACUCGGAUAAAGGAAAUCCGGGAGGGAGGCCCCACUAGGGUGAGGCGCCCCACCGCCUUUUGCGGUGGCCCUAAGGGGGGGGCUUCCUCCUUGGGCCUUUACCGACGAACCUAAAACUCAGUAGCAAGCAAAGGUACCCCCGUUAAUCUUUGUGCACGAAGAACCGCGGAAGAGUGAACACGCAGGAAGCCUUCUCUUGCAGACACAGGCUAAGGAUGUUGGGGGAUGGCCGGAGCUGAUUAUGAAAUCAGCGACCACCAGGCAACGGCCACCGGACUAGACAACGUAGGAGUGCUCCGGGUACGCCCAUCACUGUCCGGAACCGAUUGUGAAAUCAACGAUCACCUGCCUCGACACAACGCAGAGACGAUGCAGAGGGAUGCUCAAGCUACGCACACCGCUAUCGCAAGAGACACGAAUGAAGAAACCUCCAAGAAACUAUAAAAAGAGACUGAAUAAGGGAGUGGGGUGUGGGGCACUGCAGUGUGGGACACUGCAGGAGGGGCGGCUUGGAGACCCCUACCCACCCAGCGCUGUUUUGCUUGCUACUGCUUGCUGUAAUUAAUAAAAUUCUAAUUGACCUUAAAAA